GACAGAAGGUCAGUCUUGCAGCCUUAAAUAUAGAGAGAAAAAAUAAAUAAAUACAUUACAUAUCAUUCUUAAUAAUCACUUUCUUUUUUUUUUAGUUUGCAGAAUGUGUCUUAAAUAAUGAGUUGCUUCACUUUUCCACAUCUGAGGAAAGUGUGGCUGCCCUGAGAAGUAAAAUUGCUGCUUGUGUCUUGCAGCACACUGAUAACCUGAAGGACCUGUGCCAUCUAUGUGGGGACAAAAACAAUGGCAAAAAAGUGACUAACUGGAUUGGCUGUGAUAUGUGCCCACGCUGGUUUCACUGCAGAUGUGUUCAACGUACAAGAAAAAACAAAACAUACAUCUGCCCAGUUUGUCAACCUUAAUUGUGUCUUGGUUUUUGUACGCAUCACCACUUUCCCCUUGCCUGAAAGUCUUUUUUUUUUGGCUGCUUCUAAACCUUUAAAGCCCUUUCUGAUUUUUUAAUGGUUUUUUCUUUUUUGUUUUUGCCUAUUUCCUGUUAACAUAUCUCAACUCAGCUUGAUCACCCGGUUUUUGACCCCCUGCUCUCGUCCUGGAAUAUUGCCUUUGCUUCAUCCUUCAAAUUGUUGGUCCGCUACUGAUUUUGACCCCAGCCUGUUCUUUGGAUUUUGCCUCUGUCUCGCCCUCUUACUCGGCUAUCAAUAAUUUUAUGUUCUUUUUUAUUGUUUUCAUUCAACGUUUUGACAAUAAAUCCUGUUCUAAAUUGA